GACGUAGGGCGCGAGCGUUGUCCGGAUUUAUUGGGCGUAAAGAGCUCGUAGGCGGCUUGUCGCGUCGUCUGUGAAAUCCCGCGGCUCAACCGCGGGUCUGCAGUCGAUACGGGCAGGCUAGAGUUCGGUAGGGGAGACUGGAAUUCCUGGUGUAGCGGUGAAAUGCGCAGAUAUCAGGAGGAACACCGGUGGCGAAGGCGGGUCUCUGGGCAGUAACUGACGCUGAGGAGCGAAAGCGUGGGGAGCGAACAGG
rnacentral:rRNA from 1 species